rnacentral:rRNA from 1 species
ACGGAAGGCAGCAGUGAGGAAUAUUGGUCAAUGGGCGGAAGCCCGAACCAGCCAUGCCGCGUGAAGGAUUGAGGCCCUAUGGGUCGUAAACUUCUUUUGUGGUGGAGCAAUAAGGUGCACGUGUGCAUCGAUGAGAGUACAUCACGAAUAAGCAUCGGCUAACUCCGUGCCAGCAGCCGCGGUAAUACGGAGGAUGCGAGCGUUAUCCGGAUUUAUUGGGUUUAGAGGGUGCGUAGGCUGUUCUUCAAGUCAGAGGUGAAAUACCGGGGCUCAACCCUGGAACUGCCUUUGAUACUGGAGGGCUUGAAUACUGUUGCCGUGGGAGGAAUGAGUAGUGUAGCGGUGAAAUGCAUAGAUAUUACUCAGAACACCGAUUGCGAAGGCAUCUCACGAAGCAGCGAUUGACGCUGAGGCACGAAAGCGUGGGGAUCAAACAGGAUUAGAUACCCUGGUA